GAUGAACGCUGGCGGCGUGCCUAAUACAUGCAAGUCGAGCGAACAGACGAGGAGCUUGCUCCUCUGACGUUAGCGGCGGACGGGUGAGUAACACGUGGAUAACCUACCUAUAAGACUGGGAUAACUUCGGGAAACCGGAGCUAAUACCGGAUAAUAUAUUGAACCGCAUGGUUCAAUAGUGAAAGACGGUCUUGCUGUCACUUAUAGAUGGAUCCGCGCCGCAUUAGCUAGUUGGUAAGGUAACGGCUUACCAAGGCAACGAUGCGUAGCCGACCUGAGAGGGUGAUCGGCCACACUGGAACUGAGACACGGUCCAGACUCAUACGGGAGGCAGCAGUAGGGAAUCUUCCGCAAUGGGCGAAAGCCUGACGGAGCAACGCCGCGUGAGUGAUGAAGGUCUUCGGAUCGUAAAACUCUGUUAUUAGGGAAGAACAAAUGUGUAAGUAACUGUGCACGUCUUGACGGUACCUAAUCAGAAAGCCACGGCUAACUACGUG
rnacentral:rRNA from 1 species